rnacentral:rRNA from 1 species
GAUCAUGGCUCAGGAUGAACGCUAGCUACAGGCUUAACACAUGCAAGUCGAGGGGCAGCAUGGUCUUAGCUUGCUAAGGCCGAUGGCGACCGGCGCACGGGUGAGUAACGCGUAUCCAACCUGCCUUACACUCUUGGACAGCCGUUCUGAAAGGGAGAUUAAUACAAGAUGUUAUCAUGAGUAAGCAUUUUCGCAUGAUUAAAGGUUUACCGGUAGUAAGAUGGGGAUGCG